rnacentral:rRNA from 1 species
GACAUAGGUGGCGAACGUUAUCCGGAAUUAUUGGGCGUAAAGGGCUCGUAGGCGGUCUGUCGCGUCGGUAGUGAAAACUCAGGGCUUAACCCUGAGCCUGCUUCCGAUACGGGCAGACUCGAGUGCGGUAGGGGAGACUGGAAUUCCUGGUGUAGCGGUGAAAUGCGCAGAUAUCAGGAGGAACACCGGCGGCGAAGGCGGGUCUCUGGGCCGUAACUGACACUGAGGAGCGAAAGCGUGGGGAGCGAACAGG